UGCUGGAGGUAUCAGAAGUGCGAAUGCUGACAUAAGUAACGAUAAAGCGGGUGAAAAGCCCGCUCGCCGGAAGACCAAGGGUUCCUGUCCAACGUUAAUCGGGGCAGGGUGAGUCGACCCCUAAGGCGAGGCCGAAAGGCGUAGUCGAUGGGAAACGGGUUAAUAUUCCCGUACUUGGUGUUACUGCGAAGGGGGGACGGAGAAGGCUAUGUUGGCCGGGCGACGGUUGUCCCGGUUUAAGCGUGUAGGUGUGUGUUCCAGGUAAAUCCGGUUCACUUUAACACUGAGGCGUGAUGACGAGGCACUACGGUGCUGAAGCAACAAAUGCCCUGCUUCCAGGAAAAGCCUCUAAGCAUCAGGUAACAUCAAAUCGUACCCCAAACCGACACAGGUGGUCAGGUAGAGAAUACCAAGGCGCUUGAGAGAACUCGGGUGAAGGAACUAGGCAAAAUGGUGCCGUAACUUCGGGAGAAGGCACGCUGACAUGUAGGUGAAGUGAUUUACUCAUGGAGCUGAAGUCAGUCGAAGAUACCAGCUGGCUGCAACUGUUUAUUAAAAACACAGCACUGUGCAAACACGAAAGUGGACGUAUACGGUGUGACGCCUGCCCGGUGCCGGAAGGUUAAUUGAUGGGGUCAGCGCAAGCGAAGCUCCUGAUCGAAGCCCCGGUAAACGGCGGCCGUAACUAUAACGGUCCUAAGGUAGCGAAAUUCCUUGUCGGGUAAGUUCCGACCUGCACGAAUGGCGUAAUGAUGGCCAGGCUGUCUCCACCCGAGACUCAGUGAAAUUGAACUCGCUGUGAAGAUGCAGUGUACCCGCGGCAAGACGGAAAGACCCCGUGAACCUUUACUAUAGCUUGACACUGAACAUUGAGCCUUGAUGUGUAGGAUAGGUGGGAGGCUUUGAAGCGUGGACGCCAGUCUGCGUGGAGCCGACCUUGAAAUACCACCCUUUAAUGUUUGAUGUUCUAACGUGGACCCGUAAUCCGGGUUGCGGACAGUGUCUGGUGGGUAGUUUGACUGGGGCGGUCUCCUCCUAAAGAGUAACGGAGGA
rnacentral:rRNA from 1 species